rnacentral:pre_miRNA from 1 species
AGCUUUCUGAAUCCGUGCAGAGGCUUCAUCAGACACCAAGCUAUUAGGGCUGAUCAGACUUCCAAGAUAAGUGAAGUU